AACGAACGCUGGCGGCAUGCCUAACACAUGCUAGUCGAACGAGACCUUCGGGUCUAGUGGCGCACGGGUGCGUAACGCGUGGGAACCUGCCCUUAGGUUCGGAAUAACUCCCCUAAAGGGGUGCUAAUACCGGAUAAUGUCUUCGGACCAAAGAUUUAUCGCCUUUGGAUGGGCCCGCGUUGGAUUAGCUAGUUGGUAGGGUAAAAGCCUACCAAGGCGACGAUCCAUAGCUGGUCUGAGAGGAUGGUCAGCCACACUGGGACUGGGACACGGCCCAGACUGCUACGGGAGGCAGCAGUGGGGAAUAUUGGACCAGGGGCAAAGGCCUGAUCCGGCAAGGACCCGAGAGUGAUGAAGGCCUUAGGGUUGUAAAGCUCUUUUACCCGGGAUGAUAAUGACAGUACCGGGAGAAUAAGCCCCGGCUAACUCCGUG
rnacentral:rRNA from 1 species